rnacentral:rRNA from 1 species
UACGUAGGGUGCGAGCGUUAAUCGGAAUUACUGGGCGUAAAGCGUGCGCAGGCGGUUUUGUAAGCCGGGUGUGAAAUCCCCGGGCUUAACCUGGGAAUGGCAUUUGGGACUGCAAGGCUGGAGUGCGGCAGAGGAGACUGGAAUUCCUGGUGUAGCAGUGAAAUGCGUAGAUAUCAGGAGGAACACCGAUGGCGAAGGCAGGUCUCUGGGCUGACACUGACGCUCAUGCACGAAAGCGUGGGGAGCAAACAGG